AGAAGCCCAGGGGUUGGCUGGCAGAGGAAGGGAAGGGUCCGGGGUCGGCUGAGCAUGCCCUCAGGUUGCUCACUGUUCUUCCCUAGAAUGUCAGGUGAUGUGUCACCCCAA
rnacentral:pre_miRNA from 2 species